CGUCCAUUUUACGGCCGUAUUGUUGGGUCUUUAGUCGAUUGUCGGGUCCCAAAGUCGAUUAUCGGGCACUUGGACCCGACAGUUGAAGACCCACUUAAAAAAAGGCUGCUUAACAUACUCAUGACUAUUUUUAAAUUCAAAUUUGCAUAUGUAAUUUUACUCGAAUUGUCGGGCCUAUAUCUCCCAUUAGCAAACAUUAGGUCAAACUCCACACAGCAGUUACAUCCCUUGGGCAUUCGCCAAUCAUUAAUGUCUUUUUCUAGAAUAAGGGAGGCCACUGCGUAUGAGAUUGACCAACCUCGGCGCAGUGAUUUACCGGGAACCAGCAUAGCAACGAACGACAACUCUGUAAUAAAAAUUGCCAAUUUUCGCGGUUAAACUUAAAAAGAGUCCAUGUCAACUGCUGACAGUGAAGAGCCAGGCAGUCUGACCCAUGAUAGGAGGGAGCCAAGUGAAGAGCCAGACAGUCUGACCCAUGAUAGGAGGGAGCCAAGUGAAGAGCCAGCCAGUCUGACCCAUGAUUCUUGACAUGACUCAUGGUGAACUAAAAUUGCUUGCAAAGCAUCUGGGACAUGAUGUGAAGACCCACAAGGAAUAUUAUCAGUUGUCUUCCAGUACCAUGGAACUCUCAAAGGUUGCCCUGAUGUUGUAUGCUGUUGAAAAUGGUA